GUCACGGGCAGCAGGCAGCCGAGCCGGUGCCCUCCACCUCACGGGAUGUGAGGCCACCUGCAAGGCCCCGGGUGCGGCCCACGGCGCCUCGUGCCACCCCCCGAAUGUCGAGGCAGGAGCGGCGCGACGAGGCUGCCAUGCAGGCUGUCGCCAACCAGACUCUCCAGCUGCAGGAGAACGAGACGAGGGACGCGCGGGACAUCGAGUUCCAAGGCCAGCUCCUGCGUUCCAUCGAGACCCUCAGCCACCGCAUGGAGGCUGUUGCGGAGUCGAACCAGGAGCAAGCUCGUGCCACACA